CCCUUAGAUGUUCUGGGCCGCACGCGCGCUACACUGACGAAUGCAACGAGCUUAUAACCUUGGCCGAAAGGUCUGGGUAAUCUCCAAAUUUCGUCGUGAUGGGGAUAGAUUAUUGCAAUUAUUAAUCUUCAACGAGGAAUGCCUAGUAAGCGCAAGUCAUCAGCUUGCGUUGAUUACGUCCCUGCCCUUUGUACACACCGCCCGUCGCUCCUACCGAUUGAAUGGUCCGGUGAAGCGUUGGGACCGUGGCCUUUGGACGGUUCGCCGUCUGUUGGCUGCGGGAAGUUCGUUAAACCUUAUCAUUUAGAGGAAGGAGAAGUCGUAACA
rnacentral:rRNA from 1 species